UACUGGAUACGACCUUCUGGCGCAUGCCAUGUUGGUGGAAAGCUUUUGUGGAUUUUGGAUGGACUCGUGGCCUAUCAGCUUGUUGAUGGGGUAAUGGCCUACCAAGGCGACGACGGGUAGCCGGCCUGAGAGGGUGACCGGCCACACUGGGACUGAGACACGGCCCAGACUCCUACGGGAGGCAGCAGUGGGGAAUAUUGCACAAUGGGCGCAAGCCUGAUGCAGCGACGCCGCGUGAGGGAUGAAGGCCUUCGGGUUGUAAACCUCUUUCAGUAGGGAAGAAGCUGGUCCUUCGGGGUUGGUGACGGUACCUGCAGAAGAAGCGCCGGCUAACUACGUGCCAGCAGCCGCGGUAAUACGUAGGGCGCAAGCGUUAUCCGGAAUUAUUGGGCGUAAAGAGCUCGUAGGCGGUUUGUCGCGUCUGCCGUGAAAGUCCGGGGCUUAACCCCGGAUCUGCGGUGGGUACGGGCAGACUAGAGUGCAGUAGGGGAGACUGGAAUUCCUGGUGUAGCGGUGAAAUGCGCAGAUAUCAGGAGGAACACCGAUGGCGAAGGCAGGUCUCUGGGCUGUAACUGACGCUGAGGAGCGAAAGCAUGGGGAGCGAACAGGAUUAGAUACCCUGGUAGUCCAUGCCGUAAACGUUGGGCACUAGGUGUGGGGGACAUUCCACGUUUUCCGCGCCGUAGCUAACGCAUUAAGUGCCCCGCCUGGGGAGUACGGCCGCAAGGCUAAAACUCAAAGGAAUUGACGGGGGCCCGCACAAGCGGCGGAGCAUGCGGAUUAAUUCGAUGCAACGCGAAGAACCUUACCAAGGCUUGACAUGAACCGGAAUGAUGCAGAGUUGUGUCAGCCACUUGUGGCCGGUUUACAGGUGGUGCAUGGUUGUCGUCAGCUCGUGUCGUGAGAUGUUGGGUUAUGUCGGGCGGGUGGGGCAACCCUCGUUACAUGUUUCCAGCCGGUUAUGCCGGGGACUCAUGGGAGGCUGCCGGGGUCAACUCGGAGGAAGGUGGGGACGACGUUAAAUCAUCAUGCCCCCUAUGUCUUGGGCGUCACGCAUGUUACAAUGGCCGGUACAAAGGGUUGCGAUACUGUGAGGUGGAGCUAAUCCCAAAAAGCCGGUCUCAGUUCGGAU
rnacentral:rRNA from 1 species